rnacentral:rRNA from 1 species
AGGGUGCAAGCGUUAAUCGGAAUUACUGGGCGUAAAGCGUGCGCAGGCGGUUAUAUAAGUCAGAUGUGAAAUCCCCGGGCUCAACCUGGGAACUGCAUUUGAGACUGUAUAGCUAGAGUACGGUAGAGGGGGAUGGAAUUCCGCGUGUAGCAGUGAAAUGCGUAGAUAUGCGGAGGAACACCGAUGGCGAAGGCAAUCCCCUGGACCUGUACUGACGCUCAUGCACGAAAGCGUGGGGAGCAAACAGGAUUAGAUACCCUGGUAGUCCACGCCCUAAACGAUGUCAACUGGUUGUUGGGUCUUAACUGACUCAGUAACGAAGCUAACGCGUGAAGUUGACCGCCUGGGGAGUACGGCCGCAAGGUUGA